rnacentral:rRNA from 1 species
UCAGCCCGCGCCCCGUAAAACGGGACGGCCCGCCCGAGGACCCCUAAACUCUGUUUUUAGUGGAACUUCUGAGUAAAACAAACAAAUAAAUCAAAACUUUCAACAACGGAUCUCUUGGUUCUGGCAUCGAUGAAGAACGCAGCAAAAUGCGAUAAGUAAUGUGAAUUGCAGAAUUCAGUGAAUCAUCGAAUCUUUGAACGCACAUUGCGCCCGCCAGUAUUCUGGCGGGCAUGCCUGUUCGAGCGUCAUUUCAACCCUCAAGCUCAGCUUGGUGUUGGGACUCGCGGUAACCCGCGUUCCCCAAAUCGAUUGGCGGUCACGUCGAGCUUCCAUAGCGUAGUAAUCAUACACCUCGUUACUGGUAAUCGUCGCGGCCACGCCGUAAAACCCCAACUUCUGAAUGUUGACCUCGGAUCAGGUAGGAAUACCCGCUGAACUUAAGCAUAUCAAU